CAGAGAAGCGCAGUGCCCGGCCGCCGCCCACGGCGGCGGCCGAGCGAGGGUGAAACGGUGGGGUAAGAGCCCACCGGCGUCCGCCGCAAGGCGGGCGGCCAGGCAACCCCCGUCGGGAGCACGGCCAAGCAGGGGCAAGCUGCUGCUCGCCGCGCCUGAGCCCCGGGUCGGCCGCACGAGCCGGCCAGCAAUGGCCGGCCUAGAGAGAUGACGGCCUAAAACAGAACGCGGCUUACGGGCUGGCUUGUUCG
rnacentral:RNase_P_RNA from 1 species